UACGUAGGCAGCGAGCGUUGUUCGGAUUUACUGGGCGUAAAGAGUGCGUAGGCGGUUUUCUAAGUUUGGUGUGAAAUCUCCCGGCUUAACUGGGAGGGUGCGCCGAAAACUGGAAGGCUUGAGUAUGGGAGAGGUAAGCGGAAUUCCUGGUGUAGCGGUGAAAUGCGUAGAUAUCGGGAGGAACACCAGUGGCGAAGGCGGCAUCCUGGCCAUGUACUGACGCUCAGGGGCGAAAGCGUGGGGAGCAAACCGG
rnacentral:rRNA from 1 species